UUGUAACACAGGAUGAAAGUUUUAUGCUGCUGGAUGACCGUGGUUCUCAACUGGUCCUAGAUUAUCCCCAACAAUACACAUUUUUGAUGUCUUCUUUAUCUGACACCCUUUUACGGCCUUGGAGUCUCUCUGCUAACAAGCUGAUGGUCAUGGAGAAACUGCCUUCAAAACCCUUCCCGCUGUCCUGCCAUCAUCGCCAUGUCUCACAGAUGGGAAAAUGGUGCUGAAAUGAAGCACAGCUUAACUGACAAUCACCCUGUUGGCACUAAUACAAUGCAUUACCUGAGCAGUGAGACAAGCCAGGAUCCACAUGACUUGAUGCCUUGAGGACAAAGAGAACUCCCAAGUUUAUGUAUAUUUUUUUUUUUUGGAUCCACUUCAAAUGUUGACUAUUAAGAGGGGUUCCUUCAACACUGCUGCCUCCUUAAGAACUUUGAUCAUCAUCAUUAGGUCCAACAUAUUUGUGGUUUUAUUACUUAAGGUAUGUUUACAACACAUCAAUGCAUACAAUGUACAGUGUUGACCCACAAAAUAGAACCGGAGUCCUAUUCCAUUAUUCCUACCUGUGGCCGACCUCACUGUGGACCUCAAGCGCCUGCUGUACGCGUGAUAUGUUUAUUUAUUGAAGAAUUUAAUGUUAUGAAUUU